rnacentral:lncRNA from 1 species
GCCGUAUUAAAACAUAAAGAAUUAAGCAGGAAAACUGCUAUUUUUAUUAUAAUAUAAUAACUAUCUUUUCUUUUCCAUGGAAACAAUAUGAUAACUACUUAGGAGUGAGAGAAGGUGGGUCGAAAUGUACAAUGACAUAAAAUUUUAGGAGGUAGAGGUGCAACCGGGACACAUGGAACCACAUCUGGUGGGAACCUAGCUAACAGGGCUCAUAUUUGGGUUAAGCCCCAAUCAAACUCCAUGGGAUUCAUUCUAAGUUGCUGUAAUUAAUUCAAAAACUUGGAUUUGUUUCGAUGUUACACCAUAAAGCGAUGGAUUUGAUCUGGUCUACAUCUUAUUAGACUUGAAACAAAUUAAAGUUAUCUAAGUUAAGCUCAAAUUGAUUGAGCCAAAACGACUUGGAUGUGGUUAGUUGGUGCCCCUCUCCUGAAUACAAGCACUAGAGCGCGCCCUUGA